rnacentral:rRNA from 1 species
UAGGUGAACCUGCGGAAGGAUCAUUACCGAGUUAGGGUCUUCUCAGGCCCGAUCUCCCACCCUGUGUCUACUUAACCACGUUGCUUCGGCGGGCCUGUCUGGACUCACGCCCGGACUGCCGGGGGGUCUCAUCGCCCCUGGCUCGUGCCCGUCGGUGGCCUCCCAUUAAACCCUGAUGAAUUGUGUCGUCUGAGUCUGAAUUUAAUUAAAAACAAAACUUUCAACAACGGAUCUCUUGGUUCUGGCAUCGAUGAAGAACGCAGCGAAAUGCGAUAAGUAAUGCGAAUUGCAGAAUUUCCGUGAGUCAUCGAAUCUUUGAACGCACAUUGCGCCCUUUGGUAUUCCGAAGGGCAUGCCUGUUCGAGCGUCAUUAUCACCUCUCAAGCCCUGGCUUGUAGUUGGACCUUUUAGGUCGGUCGCGAGACCAGACCGGUCCCAAAGACAAUGACGGCGUCCGUGGGACCCUCGGUACAAUGAGCUUUCACCAGCACGUAUCAGAGUAGAAAGGACCCCGGGCCCGGUCUCCCUUGUAAUUUUCUCAGGUUGACCUCGGAUCAGGUAGGAAUACCCGCUGAACUUAAGCAUAUCAAUAAGCGGAGGAAAAGGAAC